GCAAUGGUGGUUCAGUGGUAGGAUUCUCGCUUUCCGUGCAAGAGACCCAGGUUCGAUUCCCAGCCAACGCA
rfam:Loxodonta africana unplaced genomic scaffold scaffold_70, whole genome shotgun sequence.